AAUGCUUCUCCGGCCUCUCUGCGGCGCGGUCUGGCCUCCAUUGCCACCCUCAUUGCCUGGUCACUCUGGCAACACCACAAGGCUGCAGUCUUCGACAAGAUCAUGCCCUCAACCUCGGACCUUGUUCGCGCGAUCAUGGAGGAAGCUCGCUCCUGGGCAGCUGCCGGAGCCAAAGGAGUUGCAUUAAUCUCUGUAACUUGA
rnacentral:rRNA from 1 species